rfam:Grosmannia clavigera kw1407 unplaced genomic scaffold GCSC_113, whole genome shotgun sequence.
ACCGGUAUGGUGUAACGGUUAACAUUCGAGAUUCUCAUUCUCGGGCUCUGGGUUCGAUUCCCAGUACCGGUG